CUUUACGGAGAGUUUGAUCCUGGCUCAGGACGAACGUUGGCGGCGCGCAUAAUGCAUGCAAGUCGAACGAAGUCCCACCCUUCGGGGUGACGACUUAGUGGCAGACGGCUGAGUAACACGUGAGUGAUCUGCCUUUGGGUGAGGGACAACAGGGAGAAAUUCUUGCUAAUACCUCAUGUGAUUCAUAGUCUAGGGCUAUGAAUGAAAGGUGCCGGGUAACUGGUUGCCGCCCUUAGAUGAGCUCGCGGCCUAUCAGGUUGUUGGUGGGGUAAUGGCCUACCAAGCCGAAGACGGGUAGCUGGUGUGAGAGCACGACCAGUCAGAGGGGGACUGAGACACGGCCCCCACUCCUACGGGAGGCAGCAGCAGGGAAUCUUCCACAAUGGGCGAAAGCCUGAUGGAGCGACGCCGCGUGAGGGAUGAAGGCUUUAGGGUCGUAAACCUCUUUUCUCAGGGAAGAGCAAGGACGGUACCUGAGGAAUAAGAGACGGCUAACUACGUGCCAGCAGCCGCGGUAAUACGUAGGUCUCGAACGUUGUCCGGAAUCAUUGGGCGUAAAGGGUCCGUAGGCUGUUUGGUAAGUCUCCUGUGAAAUCUUCAGGCUCAACUUGAAGAGGUCGGGGGAUACUGCUGAACUAGAGACUGUCAGAGGCAAGUGGAAUUCCCGGUGUAGUGGUGAAAUGCGUAGAUAUCGGGAGGAACACCAGUGGCGAAAGCGGCUUGCUGGGACAGUUCUGACGCUGAGGGACGAAAGCGUGGGUAGCAAACCGGAUUAGAUACCCGGGUAGUCCACGC
rnacentral:rRNA from 1 species